AAAUUGAAGAGUUUGAUCAUGGCUCAGAUUGAACGCUGGCGGCAGGCCUAACACAUGCAAGUCGAGCGGCAGCGGGAAAGUAGCUUGCUACUUUUGCCGGCGAGCGGCGGACGGGUGAGUAAUGCCUGGGGAUCUGCCCAGUCGAGGGGGAUAACUACUGGAAACGGUAGCUAAUACCGCAUACGCCCUACGGGGGAAAGCAGGGGACCUUCGGGCCUUGCGCGAUUGGAUGAACCCAGGUGGGAUUAGCUAGUUGGUGAGGUAAUGGCUCACCAAGGCGACGAUCCCUAGCUGGUCUGAGAGGAUGAU
rnacentral:rRNA from 1 species